rnacentral:rRNA from 1 species
GUGUCAGCAGCCGCGGUAAGACGGAGGAUGCAAGUGUUAUCCGGAAUCACUGGGCGUAAAGCGUCUGUAGGUGGUUUAAAAAGUCCACUGUUAAAAAUUGAAGCUUAACUUCAAAGAUGCCGUGGAAACUUUUAAACUUGAGUAUGGUAGGGGUAGAGGGAAUUUCCAGUGGAGCGGUGAAAUGCGUAGAUAUUGGAAAGACCACCAAUGGCGAAGGCACUCUACUGGGCCAUUACUGACACUGAGAGACGAAAGCUAGGGGAGCAAAUGGGAUUAGAUACCCCAGUAGUCC